rnacentral:rRNA from 1 species
UAACGAUACGGGACUCAUCCGAGGCCCCGUAAUCGGAAUGAGUACACUUUAAAUCCUUCAACGAGGAUCCAUUGGAGGGCAAGUCUGGUGCCAGCAGCCGCGGUAAUUCCAGCUCCAAUAGCGUAUAUUAAAGUUGUUGCGGUUAAAAAGCUCGUAGUUGAAUCUGUGUGCCACGCUGUUGGUUCAUCGCACGCGAUGUUUAACUGGCAUGUUUGUGGGACGUCCUACCGGUGGACUUAGCCUUUCGGGGCGGUCCAGAAUAUCCCAUCGCGGUGCUCUUUAUUGAGUGUCGAGGUGGGCCGGUACGUUUACUUUGAACAAAUUAGAGUGCUCAAAGCAGGCUAUGUUCGCCUGAAUACUGUGUGCAUGGAAUAAUGGAAUAGGACCUCGGUUCUAUUUUGUUGGUUUUCGGAACCCCGAGGUAAUGAUUAAUAGGGACAGAUGGGGGCAUUCGUAUUGCGACGUUAGAGGUGAAAUUCUUGGAUCGUCGCAAGACGGACAGAAGCGAAAGCAUUUGCCAAAAAUGUUUUCAUUAAUCAAGAACGAAAGUUAGAGGUUCGAAGGCGAUCAGAUACCGCCCUAGUUCUAACCAUAAACGAUGCCAGCUAGCGAUCCGCCGAUGUCCAUUUAUGACUCGGCGGGCAGCUUCCGGGAAACCAAAGCUUUUGGGUUCCGGGGGAAGUAUGGUUGCAAAGCUGAAACUUAAAGGAAUUGACGGAAGGGCACCACCAGGAGUGGAGCCUGCGGCUUAAUUUGACUCAACAC